UACAGAGGGGGCAAGCGUUGUUCGGAAUUACUGGGCGUAAAGGGCGCGUAGGCGGCCCGCUAAGUCGAACGUGAAAUCCCCAGGCUCAACCUGGGAACUGCGUCCGAUACUGGCAGGCUUGAAUCCGGGAGAGGGAUGUGGAAUUCCAGGUGUAGCGGUGAAAUGCGUAGAUAUCUGGAGGAACACCGGUGGCGAAGGCGGCCUUCUGGACAGCAACUGACGCUGAGACGCGAAAGCGUGGGGAGCAAACAGG
rnacentral:rRNA from 1 species